rnacentral:other from 1 species
GCACUCCUGCGGUGUUCGACGGUCCCCGGGUACCCCUUGAGCCUAAAUACAACCCCAGGGAUCAUGAAGCUGCGCCGGUGAGCAGGUCCGCCCUGGCAGCGGAAAGCCUAAGGCGUUGUGGUUGGUCCCACUUGAGCGUUUGUCUCAAGGUCUAUGGUGGUCCGACGGCACUGGCGGGAGUAGC